AUGAGCACAUCCUAGCGACAUGAUGUUGUGAGUGCCCCAAGCUUUGACUCUUCCUAUAUAAGAAAAGCUCGAGGCAGGAGACUCACCACAACCCAAUUUCGCACGGACCCUAGAAAGGGAGGCGUCUCCGAUGGGUGAUCUUGGCAACACAGGUCACCCCUUUGAGAUGAUCACACUCUUUCCCUUUCACAUAUCGAUAAUGACUCUCCCAAAUUAAUCGGUAUGGCUUCUUUGUCUCAUUGAGAUCAGGUGACUCGCUUUUAGGGUUCAACGUGGUGAUUGAGGUGCUUUGGAAAUUCAUUUUCAUGGUUGUACUCAGCUUCUUUUUCCAUAUUUGUAAUAAGAAUCUCUGUCAAUUUUUUGUCACCAUUAUUUCUAGGGAAGUAUACUACAAUUAUGUAAAACUACUGAUUGUUGCUCUAGCCGCUUUCUUGUCACGACGAGUUGAGAUUAAAGUGCUCGUUAGUGAUUCACCCCAAUAGAGCAUGAGUGAGGUCAUAAUAACCUCUUGGACCGGAGGUGGUGUAGAAGAAGUAAAGUCUCUCCAAUCCCUCCUCACAA